rnacentral:rRNA from 1 species
GGGGAAUAUUGCGCAAUGGGGGAAACCCUGACGCAGCAACGCCGCGUGAAUGAAGAAGGCCUUAGGGUUGUAAAGUUCUGUCAUAUGGGAAGAUAAUGACGGUACCAUAUGAGGAAGCCACGGCUAACUACGUGCCAGCAGCCGCGGUAAUACGUAGGUGGCAAGCGUUGUCCGGAUUUACUGGGCGUAAAGGAUGCGUAGGCGGACAUUUAAGUCAGAUGUGAAAUACCCGGGCUCAACUUGGGUGCUGCAUUUGAAACUGGGUGUCUAGAGUGCAGGAGAGGAAAGCGGAACUCCUAGUGUAGCGGUGAAAUGCGUAGAGAUUAGGAAGAACACCAGUGGCGAAGGCGGCUUUCUGGACUGUAACUGACGCUGAGGCAUGAAAGCGUGGGGAGCAAACA